CGAUCUCGGCUCACUGCAAGCUCCGCCUUCAGGGUUUCCACCAUUCUCCUGCCUCAGCCUCCCGAGUAGCUGGGACUACAGGCGCCCGCCACCACAUCCGGCUAAUUUUUUUGUAUUUUUAGUAGAGACAGGGUUUCACCGUGUUAGCCAGGAUGGUCUCGAUCUCCUGACCUCGUGAUCCGCCCGCCUCGGCCUCCCAAAGUGCUGGGAUUACAGGCGUGAGCCAGCCCGCCCGGCCGGUACUCCGAAGCCCUCAGAUCGGCGACCUGAGCGCUGUAGCCACCGAGAAAAUGCAGGCACCGAGCCAGGAGCAGUGCCGCAACCAAGAGAUCUCAGCUUGGCGACAUGGCUGCGUCUGGAGCCUGCGAGGGACGCCAGCCUGUGGGGUUGUCAAGGAGAACAUUCGUUACGUCUCAGCCAACGGCACUAUCACCAAGAAACCGUCGUCUCUGAGGAAAAAAGAAACGUUCGGCAGCCGAGAGAGUCUGUACAAGUGCUGUGACAGAAAGACCGCCGGCUCCACGCAGCUGGCAAAAGAGUCAACAUGAACGCCGGGUGCUGCGACCAUGACCCCGGCACUGGAGGACGUGGGAUGGAGAAUGGGACACACGGAGAGAGAAGGGAAACGUUUCAUUCAGACCAACUAGCGUCGCCGCCACCAGAAAACUGACCGGUCAGUGCUGCCAAUGAAGUGAGUGUGAAAAACCGAUGAUUGGUGGGAGGAGCAGCGCUGGGCGCUGGACCCGCUAGUGUGAGAAUCAGGCGGCGCUAGGACCUCUCAAGCGCGGGCACGAGGCGAAAGCCAGCGCUGUUGCCAAAGACAAAUGCCCGUUCUUUUGGGCGCCAUCAGCGGUGCAGCCAGCGAUCACUCCCAGGCUCUGAGAAACUGGAGAUGUCAGCCACAAACUCUCCGUUCAGGGAAGGUGGGGCGCCGUGACAGAUCGACUGGCACUGGGUGGAACAUUCUCUUGUGGCCUAGUGACUAGAACAUAAAAACGAAAACGGAACACAAAACUACUGCUGGCAUUACUCCUACUGUCUCCGCUCAAGUCAGUGGCUUCAGGCUUACGAAAACCUGUAUUUUUCUUGGCUGUGCCAUGAUCCGUAAUUACCGAGGGCCCCAGCGACCCACCCAGUGUGAUUCGCAGAGGGAAAUGAGCUGGAAUAAAGACCGUGAAUGGGGCGGAUGUGGUUCGUCCUGGCAGAGAGCCAAAGCUGUGCAGGUGGCAAACAGCUUUACACUGCAGGAAACUGCUCUUCCAAUGGCCGUGGCUGGGUCCUUCCACACCAUCCCUCUGCCCUAGACCUUUGUCCCCCUUCAGAGCCAUCAGAGGUUCUAGGGGAGCCGUCGAUAACCGCAUCUCUUCGAAACUUGGAAACUCCAGGUCCAAGAUCUCCGUGGGGAAUGAAAGGCGCAGUGUCGCCUGACCCAGGCAUCAGGCUUGCCCCGCACAAGUCCCUCCCCUACUGGAUGGAACUCUGUGGCAAUCGCUCCUUAUUCUGAUGGUUCACUCUGUCAGAUAUCCUUGAUAUUUGAGGAUAGUAGUUCAAAAACAGCCGGGGAGAAAAAUGGGCUGAAAGACUCCAGCGUUGGAUGUAGAAUUGACAGCGAGACAUACACCUCCUCUCUAAGCCCAGAGAAAAGCUCAAGUUGUGGUUCUCUGUCUCUAGCAGCAUGAUCUUCGAAAUGCAUCAUUGAUUUCUUGCUGUCUUCUGGGAAACGCAAUGCAGAUGUACUUGAGGAAAUCAGUGGUGCUUCAGGAUAUUGUGAAUUUGGGCUUCUGGAAGCAGAAUUCUGAUUUAACAGUAUAAUGGAAUUCAUGAAUGUCAUGGUGCUCAUUUGAACUAACAAGCAGCCUUGUGAGAGGAAUCUGCUUUUCCUCAAAUCUGAAGAACACCAGGAGAAUCUUUCUGGAUGGAGUUACCAGGAAUCCUUUGCUGAGGAAAGUGAAAGGGAAGAUGCAAUUUCUCCUGGGAAGGGGGGAUGCUGAUGUAGAGGGUGAUAAGUAUAUGCCAUGAAGCAUUCAGUCACCUGGUUAGAUUUAGAGUUAGAGAGGAAGCAAGGAUGCAAGGAAGCAAGAAAUGAUAAAAUUUAUUCUAAGAUAAAAUUUGUGAAUUUUGC